GACGAACCGUGCGAACGUUAUUCGGAAUCACUGGGCUUAAAGCGCGUGUAGGCGGGUGGGCGCGUCGGCCGCUGAAAUCCCCCGGCUCAACCGGGGAAGGGGCGCCGAGACGGCCGGCCUGGAGGGACGUAGGGGGGCUGGAACUUCCGGUGGAGCGGUGAAAUGCGUAGAUAUCGAGAGGAACACCUGCGGCGAAGGCGGGUUGCUGGGCUGACACUGACGCUGAUGCGCGAAAGC
rnacentral:rRNA from 1 species